rnacentral:tRNA from 1 species
GCGCCCGUAGCUCAGCAGGAUAGAGCAGCGGUUUCCUAAACCGCAGGUCGCAGGUUCGAAUCCUGCCGGGCGCG